UCCGUAGGUGAACCUGCGGAAGAUCAUUA
rnacentral:rRNA from 2 species